AUUGAACGCUGGCGGCAGGCCUAACACAUGCAAGUCGAACGAGCGGCGGACGGGUGAGUAAUGUAUGGGGAUCUGCCUGAUGGAGGGGGAUAACUACUGGAAACGGUAGCUAAUACCGCAUACCAUCGGAUGAACCCAUAUGGGAUUAGCUAGUAGGUGAGGUAACGGCUCACCUAGGCGACGAUCCCUAGCUGGUCUGAGAGGAUGAUCAGCCACACUGGAACUGAGACACGGCCCAGACUCCUACGGGAGGCAGCAGUGGGGAAUAUUGCACAAUGGGCGCAAGCCUGAUGCAGCCAUGCCGCGUGUAUGAAGAAGGCCUUCGGGUUGUAAAGUACUUUCAGCCGGGAGGCGUUACCCGCAGAAGAAGCACCGGCUAACUCCGUGCCAGCAGCCGCGGUAAUUC
rnacentral:rRNA from 1 species